CUGAGUUUGGUUAUCUAAUCUAAGCAAACACCUUCAAUUGCUUUUCAAUGGCUUUUGUCUCAAGAUAAUGAAAUGAGUUAAGAAAUUUGAGUUAACAGCGGGAGUGCUAACCAUGUUACAUCUGUAGGUGAUCAUAUAAAUGAGUUGACAC